rnacentral:rRNA from 1 species
UACGUAGGGGGCAAGCGUUGUCCGGAUUUAUUGGGCGUAAAGAGCGUGUAGGCGGCCAAACAGGUCAGCUGUGAAAACUCGAGGCUCAACCUCGAGACGUCGGUUGAAACCGUUUGGCUAGAGUCCGGAAGAGGAGAGUGGAAUUCCCGGUGUAGCGGUGAAAUGCGUAGAUAUCGGAAGGAACACCUGUGGCGAAAGCGGCUCACUGGACCAUUACUGACGCUGAGGCACGAAAGCGUGGGGAGCGAACAGG